rnacentral:rRNA from 1 species
CCUACGGGUGGCAGCAGUGAGGAAUAUUGGUCAAUGGGCGGAAGCCUGAACCAGCCAAGUAGCGUGCAGGAAGACGGCUCUAUGGGUUGUAAACUGCUUUUGUACGGGAGUAAAGCGCCUUACGUGUAGGGCUUUGAAUGUAUCGUAUGAAUAAGGAUCGGCUAAUUCCGUGCCAGCAGCCGCGGUAAUACGGAGGGUUCGGGCGUUAUCCGGAUUUAUUGGGUUUAAAGGGAGCGUAGGCCGUCUGUCAAGCUAGAGGUGAAAUGCCGGGGCUCAACCCCGGCAUUGCCUCGGGUACUGGCCGGCUAGAGAGCACGUGAGGUAGGCGGAAUUCAUGGUGUAGCGGUGAAAUGCUUAGAGAGGACACAGAACCCCGAUUGCGAAGGCAGCUUGCCACGGCAGAACUGACGCUGAUGCACGAAAGCGCGGGGAGCGAACAGGAUUAGAUACCCGAGUAGUC